UGGCAGCGGUGGGAUUCGAUCCCACGCCUAGAAAGACUGGUACCUAAAACCAGCACCUUAGGACACUCGGCCACGUUACU